UAUGAACGCUGGCGGCGUGCCUAAUACAUGCAAGUCGAGCGAACGGACGAGAAGCUUGCUUCUCUGAUGUUAGCGGCGGACGGGUGAGUAACACGUGGAUAACCUACCUAUAAGACUGGGAUAACUUCGGGAAACCGGAGCUAAUACCGGAUGAUAUUUUGAACCGCAUGGUUCAAAAGUGAAAGACGGUCUUGCUGUCACUUAUAGAUGGAUCCGCGCUGCAUUAGCUAGUUGGUAAGGUAACGGCUUACCAAGGCAACGAUGCAUAGCCGACCUGAGAGGGUGAUCGGCCACACUGGAACUGAGACACGGUCCAGACUCCUACGGGAGGCAGCAGUAGGGAAUCUUCCGCAAUGGGCGAAAGCCUGACGGAGCAACGCCGCGUGAGUGAUGAAGGUCUUCGGAUCGUAAAACUCUGUUAUUAGGGAAGAACAUAUGUGUAAGUAACUGUGCACAUCUUGACGGUACCUAAUCAGAAAGCCACGGCUAACUACGUG
rnacentral:rRNA from 1 species